UGGGGAAUUUUGGACAAUGGGCGAAAGCCUGAUCCAGCAAUGCCGCGUGUGUGAAGAAGGCCUUCGGGUUGUAAAGCACUUUUGUCCGGAAAGAAAUCCUUGGCUCUAAUACAGUCGGGGGAUGACGGUACCGGAAGAAUAAGCACCGGCUAACUACGUGCCAGCAGCCGCGGUAAUACGUAGGGUGCAAGGCGUUAAUCGGAAUUACUGGGCGUAAAGCGUGCGCAGGCGGUUUGCUAAGACCGAUGUGAAAUCCCGGGCUCAACCUGGGAACUGCAUUGGUGACUGGCAGGCUAGAGUAUGGCAGAGGGGGGUAGAAUUCCACGUGUAGCAGUGAAAUGCGUAGAGAUGUGGAGGAAUACCGAUGGCGAAGGCAGCCCCCUGGGCCAAUACUGACGCUCAUGCACGAAAGCGUGGGGAGCAAACAGGAUUAGAUACCCUGGUAGUCCACGCCCUAAACGACGUCAACUAGUUGUUGGGGAUUC
rnacentral:rRNA from 1 species